rnacentral:tRNA from 1 species
GCCUUCGCUGCGUAACGGUAGCACACUCGACCCGUAUUCGAGAAGUCCAGGUUCGAAUCCCGGCGAAGGCA